UCGGGAUUUCAGCCUCCCGCUCUUCCAAGAUAGACGGUGUCCCGUCCAAGUGCUGA
rfam:Bordetella sp. SCN 67-23 ABS43_C0086, whole genome shotgun sequence.